UAAAGGUACCAUAUGGCGGUUGGCACUUACGCUAUUUUUAACGACGCUUCAAAGCUAAUGCGGUGCUACGUGACGUAAGCGCCGACCGCCAUAAGGUAACUUUUUCCGUGGAACGUCACAUGUUGUUUAUAAUAGUUACAGUGGUUUGCUAUUAUUUUGACAGCAAAUGUGUAUUUCCAUUUGAUCAUUAGAAAAUUAUUUUAAAAUUGUCAGUAUACGAUUUUUUAUUUAAAGCUACAUUAACAGUAACUAUCAUUCAGUUAAGUAACAAUUGUUUUUCGGUUUAAAUGUUUUAUUGAACCUGAUAAACCCGUGAAAUCUGUAUAUUAUUAUGUAAUGCUAAAGGUUUAUUCGAGAAGAGAAAUCAUGAUUUGUGCAACAAUAAUAAUCAUUAAAAUGAAUGUGUACAAAAUUUUAUAUCAAUUUGCAACUGUGGGACAACAAAGUGAUUUACAAGGAUAAAAGAGAGACUUCACACUAGCGUCUUUCGAGUGUCGGCGUCUAGUGUAAGUUCUCAAAUUGCGGGCAUUUUUCUCUGUCACUCUUAUUACGCCUUCAUUGGAGUAAAAGAGAAAGAUCCCCGCAAUUUGCGAAUUUCGGUUUUCGCGGUAGCCGCUCUGAGGGCCUACCGCGCACUAACUUGUUGCCUCCCAGUCACACUUACGUACGAAAUUAUAAGUGCGACAGAGAGGCAACACGUCGUCAAAGUCUCUAAACCCUAAAUUUCUUUGGGGAUAAUAAAGGUUUGGGUUACUAAGCAUUUACACAUAUCUCUUGGUUAUAUCUUCAUUAUUUUUACAUUAUCUUUGUUUCAAAUAUUUGAAGAUACUUAUAUUGUUUAUCAUUGAUUUAUGUUACUAAUAGUUGAAAAGCCAAGAGAUCUCACAAGUUAAAAGCAAUCUUAUUGUUAUUUAAUUAUUAGUCAACAAAUUUUUAUUAGUGCUUCAUAGUUAUCUAUUGUUUUACAUUUACGAUGCUUACUGGAACUUUAUUACUUGUUUAUUCCAUAAUCUCUUUAUUUUGUAGCAUUAUCUUAGUUUUAGUUAGGUUUUUAAGGGUUAUUCCCGGUAGUUACCACCAAAGAGAAUUGCUGUUUGUGGUAACUACUGAGAUUUUUUUUUCACUUGUUACCUACUGGGGACACGUGAGAAAAAUAUUCUUAGUUGUUACCACUGGUGGUGGUAACUAGUGGGAAUAACCGUUUUGAAAUAGUGAUGUCAUGCCGCAAAGGCUAUAUAUACUUUUAGGAAACUGUAAUAUCAUGUAAUUAGUUAUUAGGUAAACAGUGUUUAUCUAAUAUGAAAAUCAGUGUUUACUAAACUCUGAAUUAUUUGCGUAUUUUUAACCUUUUGACCAAUUAUGUUAUUUCCAUUAUUUUAAGUUAGUCUGUUAUCAGUUAUAGUUAAACUUUACUACCUAUAAUUUUAAGUAAGAAGACAUGGUCUAUUUAAUAAGUGAGACCAUCAUACGGUGUGGGUUAAAAGGUUAAAUUUAUGCCAUUUAUCACAUGAUUCCAAUUUACAAGGGUGUGUGCAUUUAUGUACGAAAUGAAGGCACUGUGAUUCGUCUUUUAAAUAAAUAAACAUGUAACUAUUUUACUAAACAACAACAUAGUAUUUUUGUUUAUACAUUAAUGUAAGCAAAUUCUUAAUUGUAUGAGAAGUUCUGCCAAAGAAUGAUGAAAGAUCACGGAUGUCUUUAAGUAAAUGGAGUGCUUAUUUGCGCAAACAAAACUGUGAAAAGUAUUUGUAUCUUAACAAUAGGUACUGUGCAGUUUCUACACUAGACUAUUAAAAAAAACACUUUUUCUUUUGUUACAUAUUUUCCGUUAGACAAAAAACAAAGUUUGCACAGUAACUCUAAAGUGUCAUUCUAUGGAACUUGCUAACUAUGUAAACAAACCGCCAUAUUGAAAUUGUCUCUGAAUGAUGAAUUUACUAGUGACUUUUGUUUACAUAGUUAGCAAGUUCCAUAGAACACUUUAAAUAUAAAGUAUGAGGCCUAAUGAGAAAUACAGGUAAAGAGGAAAGGUUUAGGCACUUUAACCGUGGGCGUAAUUUCCCUUCUUAACCUGGAAGAAGAGUCUGUGGGGACUAGUUUCUCUAUAUUUCUAUAUAGGCGCAUUUAUCACUAUUUCGGAUUUUCACACCUAGUGUAGAUGCUGCUUUAUCUAAUUAAUAUGUAUCAAUAUUACAGGAAUUUAUAAUGUUAAUGCUGGGUUUUCCGUUGAAUUUCACAAUGUGUUCAUAUAGAAGGGACUUAAUGUAAAGUUUAGAUAGUUUUGUAAAGUUUAGAUGGUCGAUGCAUUUGUUGUGUAGGUAUCACUAUAAAGCAGCGGUCGGCAACCUGCGGCCCGCGGGCCGCAUGCGGCUCGUGAACCUGUCACUUGCGGCCCGAGUGCCGCCUUGGCUAUUUUGUAUGUAAUAGUGACAAACGACAAUGUCUCAUAAAGUCAAUAUUAAUAAAGUACAAAGUAAAAGGUUGCCGACCGCUGCUAUAAAGUAUUGUACGUACGGUCAGUAGCAGAUAUAAUGAUUAAUGAUGUACAAACAGCAACACUCACUGUACACCCAGUGGACCUUAUUACAAAAGGCAUAAGGUCCACCGAUGUACAGUUAACAGUGUGGGCGAUGGUACCUACCUAAUGUCCCGGACAAAUAGCCAAAAUGACAAUCGUUUGUAGAAAACGAAGCGACACUAUUGUCUCUAUCACUUCCAUAUUAGUGCGAUAGACAGAUGACUUUUCGUUUUGUUUCUCUGCGAACGAUUGUCAUCUUGGCUAGGCCCCCUUUUUAUCAUUAAACUUAUCCAUCGAAAAAACUUCUAGUGCUGAGGGCCUACCGAACCGCGAACCACGUUCGACGUGCUGCCUCUGUCGCACUUAUAAAUUCGUACGUUAGUGUGAUAGGGAGGUAACACGUUGAACGUGGUUCGCGGUAGGCCCUCUGAACACAGUCCAUCCCUAAGGAUCUCCACAACGACGGUAUCCCCGAUUCACGGUCGACAUUCUUUAUAUUUGCUUGUGACCAUAGAGAAAAUACAUAGAUUGCUCACUCCAUGUCCAUCAGUUAGAGAAAUAUAAUAUUUACAGUCACAGGCAUAGAGAAUGCUUGUGACUGUAAAUAUUAUAUUAUGCUGUUGAGAUAAGACUUUCCGGUCGGUGCUACAUCUAUUGUCAAGUAGCAGUACUGAUAGUUCCGCUACUCGAUGCUAGAUGUAGACACUGAAAUUAAAAGUGUUUUUGGUACUAAAACUGAUGUGUGGAGUGAGCAUACUUGUCUUAUUAUAUUUCUCUAUGCUUCUGACUGUAAAUAUUAUAUUUCUCUAACUAUGGUACCUAUCUACAAAGCAAACUCUAAAAAUGUGAAUUUUCUAAUAUUAUCUUUAUAUGUAAGUAGUCUUGUAUGUUGAUUGGCAUCAUAUUUGUAAGUAAAACUAUGUACUGCAAUCGGACUAGAGAAACUUGAAGGAAUUCAGUAAAAUAAGCCAUGUACGCUUACCACUUCAAUCUAUAUUUUAAACCAAUAUUAGAGAUAUAUUUUAUGAAUAACUAUCUAGCAGCGUCGGUGUUCAUUCGAUCAUUUAAGAUAUUCCAAACUGAUUGAAAAAUAAAUAAUUCUCGUAUUAAAA